GGUGCGGCUGUGGUGGGGAGGGUUCCUGGCAUCGUGAUUUGGUGGAUAAACAGAAAUGAAAAUCACAUUGCCAGGGAUUUCCACUCCUGCACAGUUCUUCAGGUCCCCCACACCUACAAAGCCUCCCGCUGGAAUGACAGAUAAUGGCUUACUGGAAUAUCGGCGAAGGCAAAAGGGCAUCUGGCAAGUUUCAAAAAGAAUGCAAACCUCAUUUGACACCCACAGCGCUUAGGCCUGAUAUCAGACGAAACCGCCGAACUACCUUAAUCCGAGGACCCACCGAGAACUUCCUCAUUAUCUGUCUGGAGAACACCUGGAGGCUAAGCGGUGUAAUCAUGGCGGGACGGGACGCUCUGUCUGCACGCAACCGCGGUUAACCCUUUCCUGCCCUCUGUAAUGAGAAGAACAUAUAUUCGUGUUUCCUUCAUUACAACACGCUUUCGUAAACUAAACUGAGUCAUCUCAGGAACGUGUUUUCCGGUGCGUGGCGGCUCUCUGUCUUAAGGCAAGUUCACACCACGAAUGAUUAAUGUCACCGCAACAACGGACAAUAACGUUCUGUUUAUAUAAGCGCGCGCUGUUGUUAUGACAACUGCAGAUUUAAAUUUCCGCGCUCUUUACUGUUGGGUGGAUUCUGAUU